UACGUAGGGUGCAAGCGUUAAUCGGAAUUACUGGGCGUAAAGCGUGCGCAGGCGGUUUGUUAAGUCUGUUGUGAAAUCCCCGAGCUCAACUUGGGAAUUGCAAUGGAUACUGGCAGGCUGGAGUAUGGUAGAGGAAGGUGGAAUUCCCGGUGUAGCAGUGAAAUGCGUAGAGAUCGGGAGGAACACCAGUGGCGAAGGCGGCCUUCUGGACCAAUACUGACGCUCAGGCACGAAAGCGUGGGGAGCAAACAGG
rnacentral:rRNA from 1 species